GAAUUGCCUUUGAUACUGUUAUUCUUGAGUGUAGUUGAAGUGGGCGGAAUUAUAGCAUUGUACGGUGAAAUGGCUAGAUAUGCUAUAGAACACCAAUUGCGAAGGCAGCUCGCUAAACUAUAACUGACGCUGAGGCACGAAAGCGUGGGGAGCGAACAGGAUUAGAUACCCUGGUAGUCCACGCCGUAAACGAUGAACACUCGCUGUUGGCGAUACACAGUCAGCGGCUUAGCGAAAGCGUUAAGUGUUCCACCUGGGAAUUACGAUCGCAAGGUUGAAACUCAAAGGAAUUGACGGGGGCCCGCACAAGCGGAGGAGCAUGUGGUUUAAUUCGAUGAUACGCGAGGAACCUUACCUGGGCUUAAAUGCAUAUUGACGUACUGUGAAAGCA
rnacentral:rRNA from 1 species